rnacentral:rRNA from 1 species
GUUGAACGCUGGCUGCAUGCCUUACACAUGCAAGUCGAACGGUAACAGGUCUUCGGAUGCUGACGAGCGGCGAACGGGUGAGUAAUACAUCGGAACGUGCCUAGUAGUGGGGGAUAACUACUCGAAAGAGUGGCUAAUACCGCAUGCGAUCUACGGAUGAAAGCAGGGGAUCGCAAGACCUUGUGCUACUAGAGCGGCCGAUGGCAGAUUAGGCAGUUGGUGGGAUAAAAGCUUACCAAGCCGACGAUCUGUAGCUGGUCUGAGAGGACGAUCAGCCACACUGGGACUGGAAAACGGCCCAGACUCCUACGGGAGGCAGCAGUGGGGAAUUUUUGACAGUGGGCGCAAGCCUGACCCAGCAAUGCCGCGUGCAGGAUGAAGGCCUUCGGGUCGUAAACUGCUUUUGUACGGAACGAAAAGCCCCGGGUUAAUACCCUGGGGUCAUGACGGUACCGUAAGAAUAAGCACCGGCUAACUACGUGCCAGCAGCCGCGGUAA